ACCAGCUGAUGAGUCCCAAAUAGGUCGAAACGCACGUCUUGGAU
rnacentral:hammerhead_ribozyme from 1 species